GGAGGCAGCAGUGGGGAAUAUUGCACAAUGGGCGAAAGCCUGAUGCAGCGACGCCGCGUGGGGGAUGACGGUCUUCGGAUUGUAAACCCCUUUCAGUAGGGACGAAGCGCAAGUGACGGUACCUGCAGAAGAAGCACCGGCUAACUACGUGCCAGCAGCCGCGGUAAUACGUAGGGUGCGAGCGUUGUCCGGAAUUACUGGGCGUAAAGAGCUCGUAGGCGGUUUGUCACGUCGUCUGUGAAAUCCCUCGGCUUAACCGGGGGCGUGCAGGCGAUACGGGCAGACUUGAGUACUACAGGGGAGACUGGAAUUCCUGGUGUAGCGGUGAAAUGCGCAGAUAUCAGGAGGAACACCGGUGGCGAAGGCGGGUCUCUGGGUAGUAACUGACGCUGAGGAGCGAAAGCAUGGGUAGCGAACAGGAUUAGAUACCCUGGUAGUCCAUGCCGUAAACGGUGGGCGCUAGGUGUGGGGUCCUUCCACGGACUCCGUGCCGUAGCUAACGCAUUAAGCGCCCCGCCUGGGGAGUACGGCCGCAAGGCUAAAACUCAARGGAAUUGACGGGGGCCCGCACAAGCGGCGGAGCAUGUGGAWUAAKUYGAUGCAACGCGAAGAACCUUACCUAGGCUUGACAUAUACAGGACGACGGCA
rnacentral:rRNA from 1 species